UACACUCCUGCGGGAGGCAGCAGUGGGGAAUCUUGCGCAAUGGGCGAAAGCCUGACGCAGCCAUGCCGCGUGAAUGAUGAAGGUCUUAGGAUUGUAAAAUUCUUUCACCGGGGACGAUAAUGACGGUACCCGGAGAAGAAGCCCCGGCUAACUUCGUGCCAGCAGCCGCGGUAAUACGAAGGGGGCUAGCGUUGCUCGGAAUUACUGGGCGUAAAGGGAGCGUAGGCGGACAUUUAAGUCAGGGGUGAAAUCCCGGGGCUCAACCUCGGAAUUGCCUUUGAUACUGGGUGUCUUGAGUAUGAGAGAGGUGUGUGGAACUCCGAGUGUAGAGGUGAAAUUCGUAGAUAUUCGGAAGAACACCAGUGGCGAAGGCGACACACUGGCUCAUUACUGACGCUGAGGCUCGAAAGCGUGGGGAGCAAACAGGAUUAGAAACCCCGGUAGUCCC
rnacentral:rRNA from 1 species